rnacentral:lncRNA from 1 species
AUGUAUAAAUAUAUUACUUUUUUCGUAAAGAAUAAAAAAUAUAACAAUUCUCACAGAACAUAUAGCUUCCCAUCACGUGUAGAUAAAAAAAAAAAAAAAUUAAUAUAUACAUUGAAUAGAGUAAAAAACAAUCCCGAUUCAACAACUUAUAAAAAAUAUACCAUACAAAAUUUUAGUAACAUAUUUAAAAAAGAAUCCGUAACACCAACUGAUUGUAUAAUAAGAUAUGGUGAUGUUUGUCAUUACAAUGCAAAUCAUUAUAAUUUUAUGUACAGUCAGCAAUAUAUAUGUGAUAAUGAAAAAGAGAAUUUAACUAAAUUAAUUAGUAAAAUCAAUUCGAUGAAAAUAUAUUACCAAAAAGAAGGAAAUGCACAUAUUACCACUACUACCACCACUACUACUACUACUACUACUAAUACUACUACUACCGAUGGUGAAACGUCGAGACAUAAUAAUACGGACAACAACAAUGACAACAACAAUUACAACAACAAUUACAACAACAAUAACAAUAACAAUUACAAUAACAAUGACAACAACAAUUACAAUAACAAUGACAAUAACAAUUACAACAACAAUUACAACAACAAUUACAACAACAAUUACAACAAUAAUGAAAACAACAAUGAAAACAACAAUUACAACAACAAUGAAAACAACAAUUACAACAACAAUAACAAUAACAAUAACAAUGACAAUAACAAUGACAAUAACAAUGACAACAACAAUUACAACAACAAUUACAACAACAAUGACAAUAACAAUUACAAUAACAAUUACAACAACAAUUACAAUAACAAUUACAACAACAAUUACAAUAACAAUGACAAUAACAAUUACAAUAACAAUUACAACAACAAUUACAACAACAAUUACAACAAUAAUUACAACAACAAUGACAACAACAAUGACAAUAACAAUGAAAACAACAAUGUAGAUUAUAAUUUAUAUUCAAGUGAUUUGUUAAGUGAUAGUAAUGCAUCUUAUACAAAUGUAUAUAACGAUAUUGGAGAUAUGGAUGUAUCUCUCGGAACAUUUCUUGAGCAAUCAUGUACAAAUAAUUCAUACACAAAUGAUGCAUGUUUAACUAUCGCAAGUAGUCUUAAAUUAGAAUCAAUAAACAGAUGUGAUAACGAAGAUUAUAUAAAUAAUAAUAAUAUAACAGAUAAAAAUAAUAUAAAUUAUAUAGAAAAAAAAGAUGAAAAUAUAAAUAAAAAUAUGACAUAUAUCGAAACAUUUAAUAAUACAUAUGUUAGUGAUAAAUUUAAUACUAAUACAAAUUACAGUAAUAUAGAAUAUAGCAACAAAAACAAUAACUUUAAUAUAUGUCUAACUAAUAAAUAUCAAAAUAAUACAAUACAUAACAUACAUAAAGAAAAAACAAAGCAUAUUAAAUUAGAACGCAUGCAAUAUGAAUUUAUCACAACAACUUAUGCUUGUAACAAUAUUAAUUAUAAUCUACCACAACUUGAUAUAAAACAAAAUCUUAUAAAUUGUGCUGAAAAACAAAACGAAAAACAAAACGAAAAACAAAACGAAAAACAAAAAUUAUAUAACUUAAUUAAUAAAAUAAAUAUAGAUUUAAAAAAUAAUAAUAACAUUAAUGUAUUAAGUAGUACAAUAAACAAUUGUGGACAGUCCAAAGAAAAGAACAACCAAAUUGUUAAAUUAAACACCAGUCAAGAUUUAAAUUAUAAAAUAGCAAAUACUGAUAACAAUAUAUUUAAUCUUACUGAUAAAAAUGAAAAAAAAAAAAGAAAAACCAAGCGAUUUUAUAAAUAUUAA